GGAGAAGUGUCUGAGCGGACUAAAGAGCUCGAUUGCUAAUCGAGUGUAUGAAUAAUACCGAGGGUUCGAAUCCCUUCUUCUCCG
rnacentral:tRNA from 1 species